rnacentral:rRNA from 1 species
AGGACGAACGCUGGCGGCGUGCUUAACACAUGCAAGUCGAGCGGAAAGGCCCUUCGGGGUACUCGAGCGGCGAACGGGUGAGUAACACGUGGGCAACCUGCCCUCAGCUCUGGGAUAACUCCGGGAAACCGGAGCUAAUACCGGAUACGACCACUCCUGGCAUCAGGUGGUGGUGGAAAGUUUUUCGGCUGAGGAUGGGCCCGCGGCCUAUCAGCUUGUUGGUGGGGUCACGGCCCACCAAGGCGACGACGGGUAGCCGGCCUGAGAGGGCGACCGGCCACACUGGGACUGAGACACGGCCCAGACUCCUACGGGAGGCAGCAGUGGGGAAUAUUGCGCAAUGGGCGGAAGCCUGACGCAGCGACGCGCGUGAGGAUGAAGCCUUCGGGUGUAACCUCUUCAGCAGGGACGAAGCGAGAGUGACGGUACUGCAGAAGAGCACCGGCAACUACGUGCCAGCAGCCGAC